CACCAUUCAAGCCUGGCUUGGUGUUGGGCGAUGUCCCCUUCGAGGACACGCUUUGAAACGCUCGGCGGCGUGGCAUCGGCUUUAAGCGUAGCAGAAUCUUUCGCUUUGAAAGUCGGGGCCCCGUCUGCCGGAAGACCUACUCAA
rnacentral:misc_RNA from 1 species